rnacentral:pre_miRNA from 1 species
UUCACAAGAAGGUGUCUUUCAUGUACAGUCAAAUGUGAACGUUACCUUCUUGAGAAAC